rnacentral:miRNA from 1 species
AUGAUGUCACUACAUGAUGAUGUCACAGGUUCAAUUACAAAAAAAUUGUACCUGUGACAUCAUCAUGUAGUGACAUCAU